ACUCCAGAGAACGAAUUGUGAAAGUCAUUCUUCCAAUAAAACAUACAGUUGUUGGCAGGUGUGAUCAACAAAUCAAGCCAGAGCAAUGAAAUGCAUCGGUUUGUCCUGAUUGACUACAAAAUGAUAUCAGAUCGAGGUUGUGGUUGCAUCAUCAGAUACAAAGGUCACCCCUGUGAGGAACAUAUGACGCAAAACAUGAAAGUUCAAGAUCCAUUUUGUAUCUUUGGACCUACUACCCAUAAACACUCAGCUCCAUCGAGGCAUGAGAAAGAAGCUGUUUAACUAGAGCUUUGAAAGAAGUCACUCCAAGUCACUCCUCAGUCUUCUCACAUGUCCAAAGUUUCUGAGUUUAAAGCUACGCCUCUCUCCUCCUCUUCCUCCUCUGCAUCAUCACUGUUGCCAAGGGUUCAAGCACGGUGAAACUCUAUUGUAAUAGAAUGGCCAAGGAUCAGCAAUCUCCACCUAAAACUGAUCGGGCAGUUGUGGAGACUUGAAACUUGGAGGGAUGGUAGUAGUCCAUGUACAUCAGGGGUCACCAAACUCGGUCCUGCAGAACCGGUGUCCUGCAGAGUUUUGCUCCAACCCUGAUCAACAACUCUUGAACCAGCUAAUCAAGGUCUUACUUGGUAUAUUUGAAACUUCCAGGCAGGUGUGUUGAGGAAAGUUGUAGCUAAACUCUGCAGGACUUGCCUCUAUUGGACCAUAAGGAGAUUGGACCAUUUUUAGCAUAGCUUUAAGUAUUACAUAGCUUGAAGUAUUCUAUAGUCUUUGGCCAGUGCAGGACCACUCUGUUUGCUUUAAAUUUUGUAAUUGUACAAUCUAAUAAAAAAUAUCAUGCUCUUGAUACAUGUAUGUAACAUCUUUGUUUGGACUGUGAAUAAAAUACAGUAAUAGAGCAGAUAAACAGCUUGUUCAUAUACUUUAUCAUUCUUUCUUGUCUCUUGCUUAUAGAAAAAAAAUUCAGCAACCAGUAUCAGAAUCAGCAAAUUUACUGACAAUUAUAAUCGUCCAUGAAAACUCAAGAUCAGGCAUCUCUAGUUUUUGUAGAUAGCCUACUGGUUAGUUUCCUCAAACUGUCAUAAAUUUGACUGACUAUUAAAGGGAUACUCCACCCCAAAAUGAAAAGUUUGUCAUUAAUCACUUACCCCCAUGUCGUUCCAAACCCGUAAAAGCU